AGCCGCGCGGUAAGCACAAAGCGAACUAUUCUUUCGCCUUUUACUAAAGAAUACCGUGUGCUUGCCGCAAAUAGCGGCAUACGCCAAUUUUUGGAGGGUUCUCUUUUCUCGGAGAGGAU
rnacentral:snRNA from 9 species